rnacentral:rRNA from 1 species
AUUGAACGCUGGCGGCAUGCCUUACACAUGCAAGUCGAACGGUAACAGGUCUUCGGAUGCUGCCGAGUGGCGAACGGGUGAGUAAUACAUCGGAACGUGCCCGAUCGUGGGGGAUAACGAGGCGAAAGCUUUGCUAAUACCGCAUACGAUCUACGGAUGACAGCGGGGGAUCUUCGGACCUCGCGCGGCCGGAGCGGCCGAUGGCAGAUUAGGUAGUUGGUGGGAUAAAAGCUUACCAAGCCGACGAUCUGUAGCUGGUCUGAGAGGAUGAUCAGCCACACUGGGACUGAGACACGGCCCAGACUCCUACGGGAGGCAGCAGUGGGGAAUUUUGGACAAUGGGCGAAAGCCUGAUCCAGCCAUGCCGCGUGCAGGAUGAAGGCCUUCGGGUUGUAAACUGCUUUUGUACGGAACGAAAAGCCUCUUUCUAAUAAAGAGGGGUCAUGACGGUACCGUAAGAAUAAGCACCGGCUAACUACGUG